UUAGACACCUACAGGGUUUGGUGGGAGUUUUAUGGAGCCAAAACUGGCAUUUAGAUGCCUAAAUCUGGGGUUUAGGCAGUCAAGUACCUUUGAGGUUUGCACCUAAAUCAUCUAUCUUUUGCCUCUGUCUUUGGUCAAUCAACUUUUCAGGAGAGAACAUGAGAAAGAGGAUGCCAUUUAUCUCUGGAUGGAAAGGAAACAGGGCUCAGAAGGGUUCGGAUGGCAGUCUGAAGGAGCUGGGUUUGAGUCUGCCCUAAUCAGCAAGGACAUGUGAGUGAAGAAGCCAGAAACUGGCCAGACUCAUUCAAUUCACCUCAUUCAUCUCCUUACAAUCUGAAGCAGACACAUUUGUUAGUAUCAGAGCCAGGGAGACUCUACCUUCCCGCUGCAUCCAGAGGACAGUAGCAGUGAACAGCAAGAAGGAAGAGAUACACAUCAGCCCCUGAAGGAAUAUGUUCAUCCAUCUCCAGGUCUCCCACACUAGGAAAACAACAGACAACCAACAAUCAGCACCUUCUUGUUACACAUUCCGUGCACUUGGGAUGUUCUUCUGCCUUAACGCUGCUGAGAUCACAAUGUCAACCCUUGUGAAGAGUGUGAGACUGUAACAGUGAGAUUGUAACACGAUGCAGUCAGUUCUUUGUGUCUAUAUCUUAUUCUCAUUUAAAAGUUACUGAGAGUACGUACAUGAAGAACAAUACUCCGUGUUCAGCAGUGACAUAUCUCCUGGCAGAUGGAGGGAACCUUCACCAAGGGGUCUGUGUGAUCAAUAACUUCCAAAAUCACUCCAUUGACUCUCUCAUGGACUUCUGUAAACUGAAUACACCUAGAUGCUGUUGCAGCAGCAUGGCAUAUGCCUGUAUUCCACCAGCAAGUCUGCCCUUUUCUCUGGAUUUCUAGUCCUUGGAAGUACAUCACAUACCUUUCAACUGCCAAUGUAUGACACUUGCAGGAGUAAUGACCACCAUUCUGGCCAACACAGGGACCUGAAUUGAUGACCACCAGAGCUAAAUGCAUAAGCCUUUAUAGUCUGUGUUAAAGAGGCGGGCUCUCAGGAGAACUCCUACAGCCUCACAUUCUCUGUGGAUUGGGCACAGGGCAAGACAACCCACACAGUGAUCAAUGGGUUACAACAGCAAAAUGUAACAAAUUACUGAAUGGUGCAAUGGAUGCAUUUUGGCGAGUCACCAUAAUUUACAGAUUGAAACAGUUUUGGAACUUAAAUAUGAUAAAGAAGGUUAAUCACAGCGUAAAUCAUGUACAACCAUCCUAUCCCGCAGAGACAG